GCAAGAUCCGGCCAAGCGGGCGAGUGAAGCGGAAGGGGGUAAGGGUUAAUGGGAAUUACUGGGCGUAAAGCGGGCGUAGGCGGUUCUUGAAGGCUGCGGUGAAAUCCCCGGGCUCAACCUGGGAAUGGCAGUGGAUACUGGAGAGCUAGAGUGUGAUAGAGGAUGGUGGAAUUCCCGGUGUAGCGGUGAAAUGCGUAGAGAUCGGGAGGAACAUCAGUGGCGAAGGCGGCCAUCUGGAUCAACACUGACGCUGAGGCACGAAAGCGUGGGGAGCAAACAGGAUUAGAUACCCUGGUAGUC
rnacentral:rRNA from 1 species